rnacentral:rRNA from 1 species
UACGAAGGGGGCUAGCGUUGCUCGGAAUCACUGGGCGUAAAGCGCACGUAGGCGGAUAGUUUAGUCAGAGGUGAAAGCCCAGGGCUCAACCUUGGAAUUGCCUUUGAUACUGGCUAUCUUGAGUUCGGGAGAGGUGAGUGGAAUGCCGAGUGUAGAGGUGAAAUUCGUAGAUAUUCGGCGGAACACCAGUGGCGAAGGCGACUCACUGGCCCGAUACUGACGCUGAGGCGCGAAAGCGUGGGGAGCAAACAGG